rnacentral:rRNA from 1 species
UACGUAGGGUGCAAGCGUUAAUCGGAAUUACUGGGCGUAAAGCGUGCGCAGGCGGUUUUGUAAGUCUGUCGUGAAAUCCCCCGGGCUCAACCUGGGAAUUGCGAUGGAGACUGCAAGGCUAGAAUCUGGCAGAGGGGGGUAGAAUUCCACGUGUAGCAGUGAAAUGCGUAGAGAUGUGGAGGAACACCGAUGGCGAAGGCAGCCCCCUGGGUCAAGAUUGACGCUCAUGCACGAAAGCGUGGGGAGCAAACGAGGAUACGAA